rnacentral:rRNA from 1 species
UACGUAGGGGGCAAGCGUUGUCCGGAAUCAUUGGGCGUAAAGCGCGCGUAGGCGGCCCUGUAAGUCCGCUGUAAAAGUCAAAGGCUCAACCUUUGAAAGCCGGUGGAUACUGCAGGGCUAGAGUCCGGAAGAGGCGAGUGGAAUUCCUGGUGUAGCGGUGGAAUGCGCAGAUAUCAGAAGGAACACCAAUAGCGAAGGCAGCUCGCUGGGACGGUACUGACGCUAAGGCGCGAAAGCGUGGGGAGCGAACAGG